rnacentral:snoRNA from 1 species
ACUGGUGUUAGGGAUGGCACAUUUGCUAUUAUUGAGACGAUAGUUUGGUGCCGAGAAUCUUGUUUUUGGUACACGUCAGCUGAGCCAGA